rnacentral:tRNA from 1 species
AAGGGAGACCUAAUUCAGGUAAAAGACGAAAAAAAAGUAGUCGCUACCAAGAAUCAAUCCCAAAAGGUCGGAGCGAGGCGAAAUUGGCUUUCAAACUAGGUUCUGGGUUCACACAAGACCUGAAUCAGGAACAAGGGCUAUUAGCUCAGGUGGUUAGAGCGCACCCCUGAUAAGGGUGAGGUCCCUGGUUCGAGUCCAGGAUGGCCCACCUGUACAGGUGGCAAAAAGAAAGAAAAGAAGCGAGGAAUCAGCACCUUAUCUUAUUUAUAUAGUAAGAGAGAAUGCUGGCUCUGAGUUCAGAGUCCAGAGGAACCUUGAAAACUGCAUAGAGCUAGGUGAAAAAGCCAAAAAAGAAGACCGCAAGGUCAAGCUAAUAAGGGCUAACGGUGGAUACCUAGGCAC